AGACACACAGGGCCAGUGGGACAGACUCAUCGCUCAGGCUUUGCUCGCUACAGAGAUCUCACUGUCUGAUGAAAUGCCAAAAGAAACCAGCAGCCAACACAAUGACCCAUAAUCCUCCAGCUCCCCCUCCAUCACACAGUCCUGCCGCCGCUGCUCAGAGCUGAUAGUGAGGAGAUUGAAAAGGAUGGAUGACCUAAGACAGGAAGAUGGAUAGGAUUUGAGUGUAGCUGGCCAGGAAGAGUGUUGCAUCAGCCUAGUUGGUGUUCACCCGCGGACAGUCACAGGAAAGCGUGUAGUCAGCUUAGGUUUCUGCCACACUGUCAUUAAUCAUCAGCCAGCCCCGGAGAGGAACACGACCAUUAAUGCUGACACAUCUUCAUUUGAAUCUUCCAAAGGAUAGCUUAUGCAUGACUGCACAAUCUCCCUAAUUCAGCAAUACAUGAACAUCCGACAGUUUCUAUCACCCCGACUGCUGCAGAAUAACAGUAUAAGUCCACUCUGGUUUUCUCAUCUGACCUUAGAGAGACCGAGAAAAGGGUAACAAGAGACAAAGAGGAAAGAUAUACGAGACAAAGGGUGGUAGAGUGGGUACAGAAGUGAAGAAUGGGGUAAAAAGGUGGACGACUCAUUUGCACAAUGGAAAUGUUCACAAGCUUGAUUAUGAGACUGUAGGACUGUGUCUUUUCAACUUGAGUGAGAAGAAUAAAUGUGAUUCAAGAUUGGCCUCCAGACUUAAACACACACACACACUCAUUGGGUACAGUGUUCAAUGGCUAAGACUGUCUAUCCUCAGACUUCGACAUGGCAAUGCUGAAGGAAACUUUGACCGUCACAAUCAUCAUCAACCAACAAAUAUUCCCCCGCAGGUUAUACACACACAUACGUUACAAACUGACACACACAGAAAGCAUAUGCACAAACUUGUGGUUAAGCAGGCACCUCAGUUUUGACAUAACACACACUUAACACAAAUUGGUCACUGUAGCCUCAUUGGAGGAUGUGUGUGUGUGUGUCUGUCUGUGCCUCAUAGCUCAUAAUUCCUGCUGAAAAUACCAGCUGGAGACCACUGACCAGUAAACAGUUUGUUGUGUUUUAGAUGGUGACUGUACCAUAACUAUCCUUAAUAAUGUUACAAAAGAUUUCUAUUUGAAAUGUUUCUUUUGAUCUUUCUAUUCAUCAAGAA